UUAUUGCAUGUACUGUAUGAAUAAGCAUCGGCUAACUCCGUGCCAGCAGCCGCGGUAAUACGGAGGAUGCGAGCGUUAUCCGGAUUUAUUGGGUUUAAAGGGUGCGCAGGCGGGAACUUAAGUCAGCGGUGAAAUCUCGACGCUUAACGUCGAAACUGCCGUUGAAACUGGGUUUCUUGAGUAUAGAUGAAGUAGGCGGAAUUCGUUGUGUAGCGGUGACAUGCUUAGAUAUAACGAGGAACUCCGAUUGCGUAGGCAGCUUACUAAGCUAUAACUGACGCUCAAGCACGAAAGCGUGGGGAUCAAACAGGAUUAGAUACCCUGGUAGUCCACGCCGUAAACGAUGAUUACUAGUUGUAUGCGAUAUACCGUAUGUGACUAAGCGAAAGCGAUAAGUAAUCCACCUGGGGAGUACGCCGGCAACGGUGAAACUCAAAGGAAUUGACGGGGGCCCGCACAAGCGGAGGAACAUGUGGUUUAAUUCGAUGAUACGCGAGGAACCUUACCCGGGCUUGAAAUGCAGAAGAAUAACGUUGAAAGAUGUUAGCCAGCAAUGGCUUCUGUGUAGGUGCUGCAUGGUUGUCGUCAGCUCGUGCCGUGAGGUGUCGGCUUAAGUGCCAUAACGAGCGCAACCCACAUUGUUAGUUACUAACAGGUCAAGCUGAGGACUCUAACAAGACUGCCGUCGUAAGAUGCGAGGAAGGUGUGGAUGACGUCAAAUCAGCAC
rnacentral:rRNA from 1 species